GAGUGGGAUCCUGAGGGUUUGUUUUCCUGGCACUAUAGUGGUCCUUUAAGGACAUGGAGGCUCAUAUUAUGCUAGUUCUAAGCUGUGAAAUAACAGUAGAGGAGACAUGUUCUUUAGGACGAAAAUAAUAUUCCUUAAAUGUUGAUUCACAAGACCAAUCCAACAUCCGAAGAAGGUCUUCCAGUUUACAGCCCAGGUUGAAAGCUUUUGAAGCCAUGGCCCCUCUAGUAGAAUGUGCGCCAUAGAUGGAUUAAUCUAUGUUAGCUAAAGACAUUAUCCAUUUUACGCAGCGGGCUAAUGUCACCGUAGAUACAGGGUGAUGUGGUAGGCUAAGAGCCAAGAACAACUAGUUAGAC